rnacentral:rRNA from 1 species
CCUACGGGAGGCUGCAGUGAGGAAUAUUGGUCAAUGGGCGAGAGCCUGAACCAGCCAAGUCGCGUGAAGGAUGACGGCCCUACGGGUUGUAAACUUCUUUUGUCAGGGAGCAAUUGGGUCCACGCGUGGGCUUAGCGAGAGUACCUGAAGAACAAGCAUCGGCUAACUCCGUGCCAGCAGCCGCGGUAAUACGGAGGAUGCGAGCGUUAUCCGGAUUUACUGGGGGUAAAGGGCGUGUAGCCGGGCUGACAAGUCAGAUGUGAAAUCCGAGGGCUCAACCCCCGAACUGCAUUGGAAACGGUUGGUCGUGAGUGUCGGAGAGGCAGGCGGAAUUCGUAGUGUAGCGGAGAAAUGCGUAGAUAUUAGGAGGAACACCAGUGGCGAAGGCGGCCUGCUGGACGACAACUGACGGUGAGGCGCGAAAGCGUGGGGAGCAAACAGGAUUAGAUACCCUUGUAGUC